AUGAACGCUGGCGGCGUGCCUAAUACAUGCAAGUCGAGCGAACGGACGAGAAGCUUGCUUCUCUGAUGUUAGCGGCGGACGGGUGAGUAACACGUGGAUAACCUACCUAUAAGACUGGGAUAACUUCGGGAAACCGGAGCUAAUACCGGAUAAUAUUUUGAACCGCAUGGUUCAAAAGUGAAAGACGGUCUUGCUGUCACUUAUAGAUGGAUCCGCGCUGCAUUAGCUAGUUGGUAAGGUAACGGCUUACCAAGGCAACGAUGCAUAGCCGACCUGAGAGGGUGAUCGGCCACACUGGAACUGAGACACGGUCCAGACUCCUACGGGAGGCAGCAGUAGGGAAUCUUCCGCAAAGGGCGAAAGCCUGACGGAGCAACGCCGCGUGAGUGAUGAAGGUCUUCGGAUCGUAAAACUCUGUUAUUAGGGAAGAACAUAUGUGUAAGUAACUGUGCACAUCUUGACGGUACCUAAUCAGAAGGCCACGGCUAACUACGUG
rnacentral:rRNA from 1 species